GACGAACGCUGGCGGCGUGCUUAACACAUGCAAGUCGAACGAGAAAGCCCUUCGGGGUAAGUACAGUGGCGAACGGGUGAGUAACACGUGGGCAACCUGCCCCAGAGAGCGGGACAACCCGGGGAAACCCGGGCUAAUACCGCAUGAUGCGUCUCCACUUAAGUGGAGCCGCCAAAUGGUAGCUUCGGCCUCCGCCCUGGGAUGGGCCCGCGCCGGAUUAGCUAGUUGGUUGGGGUAACGGCCCACCAAGGCGACGAUCCGUAGCUGGUCUGAGAGGACGAUCAGCCACACUGGGACUGAGACACGGCCCAGACUCCUACGGGAGGCAGCAGUGGGGAAUCUUGCGCAAUGGGCGAAAGCCUGACGCAGCAACGCCGCGUGGGGGAAGAAGGCCUUCGGGUUGUAAACCUCUUUCAGUAGGGACGAAGCUUCCGGGGUUAAUAGCCUACGGGGUGACGGUACCUACAGAAGAAGCCCCGGCUAACUACGUGCCAGCAGCCGCGGUAA
rnacentral:rRNA from 1 species